UACAGAGGGUGCGAGCGUUAAUCGGAAUUACUGGGCGUAAAGCGCGCGUAGGCGGCUUUUCAAGUCGAUUGUGAAAUCCCCGGACUUAACCUGGGAACUGCAGUCGAGACUGUCUAGCUAGAGUAUGGGAGAGGGAAGUGGAAUUUCAGGUGUAGCGGUGAAAUGCGUAGAUAUCUGAAGGAACAUCAGUGGCGAAAGCGACUUCCUGGACCAAUACUGACGCUCAUGUGCGAAAGCGUGGGGAGCAAACAGG
rnacentral:rRNA from 1 species